rnacentral:lncRNA from 1 species
GGCUCCGCCGGGAGCCGCUGAGGGGAGGGGACUGCAGGAGGCGGGUUAACAGCAACCAAGGCCGUCGCAAGCCUCAACGGUCCCAGAAGGAGGGGGGAGCCGGCGGACGGCUUGUUGCGUGUGAAGCGCGACAUGGCGGCGAGGCCGACCAGCCCGAGUGGCCUCGUGUAUGCAGAGAAGGGGCGGGGCUAGAGCGGUCUCGACCUCCAGUAGACUUGCCUCCGGCAGGGCCGCGCGGAGACUACAUUUCCCAGAGGGUGCUGCGCGUCGCGGAAAGGAGGGGGAGGAAGCACUUUGACUCCAGUGCGCAGGCGUGAGAGUCUCCUCAGGCUAUUUAAGCGAGGCUGGAGUGUUUCGCGUUCUUUCGCUUCUGCGGCUCUCGUCGGAGCCUUCGUCUCUCUGUUCCUCUUCUGAUGGCGUUCUACCCUGGGAACGUGGGUGUGCUACUCCAUGUGGUUUGCAUGAUCAGAGACUGCAGGAUGGAUCUCGGAGAAGACGGCUCCUGCUGGGCCUCUAAGGCAACCAUGUAUAGACAUCCACAAUCUUCAGUCUCCUGAUCUCUGGGGUUUACUAGUGGCAGAAAGCAGACUUUGAAUGGACUAUCAUUUGGAAAGAAUGGGGCUAGAGCACCCUGUGUUCGUCAAGGCAAUGAGGAAGUGGAUUCCAGCCUGAUUUUGCCGUCAGCUUGGUUCAGUCUAUCCUGUAACAGGGCAUUUAUCAGCUAUGGACUUGGAAUACAAGGCCUCAAAUGACUGAUCCUGUGCUCUCCAGAGAAAGCAUGACUUGGUUGAUUAGUCUCACAAGAUGAUUCUGCAACCCAGGUGUCCAGAGUUGGAAAAGCCUGUGCCUGCUCUGAAGAAUCAGUUACUAAUUUUUAGCCUCCCUAUGUGGAAAAUAAAGUCCUUUAAAU